rnacentral:rRNA from 1 species
CAGCAGCCGCGAGAAUACGUAGGUGGCGAGCGUUGUCCGGAAUCAUCGGGCGUAAAGGGAGCGCAGGCGGGCAUGUAAGUCUUUCUUAAAAGUGCGGGGCUCAACCCCGUGAUGGGAAAGAAACUACAUGUCUUGAGUACAGGAGAGGAAAGCGGAAUUCCCAGUGUAGCGGUGAAAUGCGUAGAUAUUGGGAGGAACACCAGUGGCGAAGGCGGCUUUCUGGACUGCAACUGACGCUGAGGCUCGAAAGCCAGGGGAGCGAACGGGAUUAGAUACCCCCGUAGUCCCUGUCUCUUAUACA